rnacentral:rRNA from 1 species
UACAGAGGGGGCAAGCGUUGUCCGGAAUUACUGGGCGUAAAGGGCGCGUAGGCGGCCCGCUAAGUCGAACGUGAAAUCCCCGAGCUCAACUCGGGAACUGCGUCCGAUACUGGUGGGCUUGAAUCCGGGAGAGGGAUGCGGAAUUCCAGGUGUAGCGGUGAAAUGCGCAGAUAUCGGGAGGAACACCUAUGGCGAAGGCAGCUCGCUGGACGUUACUGACGCUGAGACGCGAAAGCGUGGGAGCAAACAGG